GUCCGUCGUGAAGAGGGAAACAACCCAGACCGCCAGCUAAGGUCCCAAAGUCAUGGUUAAGUGGGAAACGAUGUGGGAAGGCCCAGACAGCCAGGAUGUUGGCUUAGAAGCAGCCAUCAUUUAAAGAAAGCGUAAUAGCUCACUGGUCGAGUCGGCCUGCGCGGAAGAUGUAACGGGGCUAAACCAUGCACCGAAGCUGCGGCAGCGAACGUAUCACUUAAAGCGAUUCAGCGGAUGACGAUUGACGGAGCGAAGCGACGUCAAAGCGUAUACAAAGUCGAGUCGGUUUAAGGAUACGUUCGUUGGGUAGGGGAGCGUUCUGUAAGCCUGUGAAGGUGUGUCGUGAGGCAUGCUGGAGGUAUCAGAAGUGCGAAUGCUGACAUAAGUAACGAUAAAGCGGGUGAAAAGCCCGCUCGCCGGAAGACCAAGGGUUCCUGUCCAACGUUAAUCGGGGCAGGGUGAGUCGACCCCUAAGGCGAGGCCGAAAGGCGUAGUCGAUGGGAAACGGGUUAAUAUUCCCGUACUUGGUGUUACUGCGAAGGGGGGACGGAGAAGGCUAUGUUGGCCGGGCGACGGUUGUCCCGGUUUAAGCGUGUAGG
rnacentral:rRNA from 1 species